rnacentral:lncRNA from 1 species
UACAAAAAUCCAGACACUAAACAUCAGCAUGAGAGUUCAGCCAGGUAUGACUCUACACUCUGAUUUUGCGUAUGUCCUUUUGACACUUCACAACAUGACAACACACACUGAGGCAAGUUGUUUGUUUAGCCAGGGCCUUUCUAGCCAUCCCUAUCUGUAUGUUUCCCUUCAUGAACCCCGUUGAGCCUUAGCCAUUGUAUUCAUAAUAAACCCCAUGUUAACCACUAAUCAUUCAUUUCUUC